rnacentral:rRNA from 1 species
UACGUAGGGGGCGAGCGUUGUCCGGAUUCAUUGGGCGUAAAGAGCUCGUAGGCGGCUUGGUAAGUCGGGUGUGAAACCUCCAGGCUCAACCCGUGGAGACGCCACUCGAUACUGCCAUGCUAGAGUCCGGUAGGGGCCCACGGAAUUCCUGGUGUAGCGGUGAAAUGCGCAGAUAUCAGGAGGAACACCGGUGGCGAAGGCGGGUCUCUGGGCCGAUACUGACGCUGAGGAGCGAAAGCGUGGGGAGCGAACAGG